rnacentral:rRNA from 1 species
GACGAACGCUGGCGGCGUGCUUAACACAUGCAAGUCGAACGGAAAGGCCCUGCUUUUGUGGGGUGCUCGAGUGGCGAACGGGUGAGUAACACGUGAGUAACCUGCCCUUGACUUUGGGAUAACUUCAGGAAACUGGGGCUAAUACCGGAUAGGAGCUCCUGCUGCAUGGUGGGGGUUGGAAAGUUUCGGCGGUUGGGGAUGGACUCGCGGCUUAUCAGCUUGUUGGUGGGGUAGUGGCUGACCAAGGCUUUGACGGGUAGCCGGCCUGAGAGGGUGACCGGCCACAUUGGGAUUGAGAUGAGGCCCAGACUCCUACGGGAGGCAGCAGUGGGGAAUAGUGCACAAUGGGCGGAAGCCUGAUGUAGCAACGCCGCGUGCGGGAUGACGGCAUUCGGGUUGGAAACCGCUUUCGCCUGUGACGAAGCGUGAGUGACGGUAAUGGGUAAAGAAGCACCGGCUAACUACGUG